rnacentral:lncRNA from 1 species
CAGCGCAGGAAGUGAGACCGUCUCACCCACGUGACCAGCGUCCCACCGUGGGUCACAAGGCGCGUCCAGACCCAGAGUCCUGCUCCUGCUUCUGUCGUGUACUUGCUGCCUGAGUUGGAUCGAGGAGUUGGUAGCAGAGAGGUUAAGAAGCGUGUUCAUCUAAGCAGCGGGCACGAACCCACUCUCCUACUUAGCGUGUUGUUCUGAGAGAUGUGCCGUCCGCUACGUGCCCGCGGAGCAGGGGGGCUGUGAUGGGCUCGGGUGAAUAACCCCGGGGGCCGGCGGGGAGCUGCGGGCCCUCCCUGGGGAAGGAGGUCGGUGCCCUGGCAGGAGGGCUGUUCUCUCAGGAACCUCGUCCACAGGAUGGAGCGAGGCGGGAAUCUGAGGUUGGGCCAUCACGUGGGUCACCUCGUCUCACCAGCCACGCAGGGGCUCCCUGGGCACAAGGAGCGCGUCCUGAGCCCCAGCCCCAGGCAGGAAGCCCGGCCAGAGAAACUCUGUCAGCUCUGGCCUGUCGGCCGGUGAGGGACGCUCCAGCUCGCUCUGGUGGAGCCUGUCCACCUUCCAGCUCAGCCACCGAGCCGGGAACACAGGGAAGGCUUCCUCCCUCUCGGGUCACAGAGCUGGCCCAGGCCACCGUGCCCUGCUGCAGCAAGGACCCCCGGUACGGCGACGGCCCGCAAAGAGGAGAGGUCGCCCUGGUCCCCGACACCUGCCCCUGCUGCCGGUCGAUGCUCUGCCACCGUGAGGGGAGAGCCAGCCAGGUCGAUGCACUGCCGGAGGGUUCACGGGCCGCCUGGACGAGCCGGGCCCGUGGUCGGGGCUCGGCCCGCCCAGCCCAGCGCGAGACACCCCUGACCCGGCCGACACCCCCAAAUCCACCCACGGCCACCACUGCGGCCCCAGCGGCUCCGUCCUUCGGGGCCUUCGAAGUGACCUCCUGACUCACCUCCCCUGUCACUGUGGCCCUCCUGCCGUGUGUCCGGGGAGACCCCGGGGGUGGCCCCGACCUGCCCCCCGCUCCAGAGGCUGACCCUGGCAGGACACUCAGACGCCC